rnacentral:tRNA from 2 species
GCGGAAGUGGUGGAAUUGGUAGACACGCUAUCUUGAGGGGGUAGUGCCGUUCGCGGCGUGCGGGUUCAAGUCCCGCUUUCCGCACCA